UUUUGUUUACGGGGAAACUUCUCAGCAGCCAUUGAAGCCGAGGUAUAAAAUAAAACACCUAAAGCAGAUCAUGCAAUUGCUUAGGCUUAACAGCAAAAGGAGGCACAAGUUCAGGGCUCACUUAUUCAUUCAUUUCACAGUUCAUCCAAAUCUGCUGCGGUCAGAAAGUUCACGGACACAACCAAACAUAAGUACAUAACACUAGACCACAGCACGGUAGCAACAAAGCACAAGACCAGACGAGGACACACUGACAAUCCGAUCGGAGGACACAGAAAGGCAACCGACUUGUGAGCCCACAGACAUAAGCAGCUCCAUGGCCAGGCACUUACUGGCCACCACGGAGACGGAGCACCAGGUGGAGGGUGGACUCCUUCUGGAUGUUGUAGUCAGCGAGGGUGCGGCCGUCCUCGAGCUGCUUACCAGCAAAGAUGAGGCGCUGCUGGUCCGGUGGGAUGCCCUCCUUGUCCUGGAUCUUCGCCUUCACAUUGUCAAUGGUGUCAGAUGACUCGACCUCGAGCGUGAUGGUCUUGCCGGUGAGGGUCUUAACGAAGAUCUGCAUACCACCCCUGAGACGGAGCACCAGGUGGAGGGUGGACUCCUUCUGGNNN
rnacentral:lncRNA from 1 species